CUUGGUCAUUUAGAGGAAGUAAAAGUCGUAACAAGGUUUCCGUAGGUGAACCUGCGGAAGGAUCAUUAAAGAAUUGCCCCAUUUUUUGAAAUGGGUUCUAUUCCCAAACCGUGUAUACAUACCUUUGUUGCUUUGGCAAGCCGUCCUUCGGGCGCAGCUUCGGCUGAGAGCGCUUGCCAGAGGACCCCAACUCUUUUGUUUAGUGAUGUCUGAGUACUAUAUAAUAGUUAAAACUUUCAACAACGGAUCUCUUGGUUCUGGCAUCGAUGAAGAACGCAGCGAAAUGCGAUAAGUAAUGUGAAUUGCAGAAUUCAGUGAAUCAUCGAAUCUUUGAACGCACAUUGCGCCCCUUGGUAUUCCGAGGGGCAUGCCUGUUCGAGCGUCAUUAUGACCACUCAAGCCUAGCUUGGUAUUGGGGUUCGCGGUCUCGCGGCUCUUAAAAUCAGUGGCGGUGCCGUCUGGCUCUAAGCGUAGUAAUUUCUCUCGCUAUAGGGUUCCGGUGGUUACUUGCCAAAACCCCCCAUUUUUUCUAGGUUGACCUCGGAUCAGGUAGGGAUACCCGCUGAACUUAAGCAUAUCAAUAAGCGGAGGA
rnacentral:rRNA from 1 species